GGCGUAAAGCGCACGCAGGCGGUCUGUCAAGUCGGAUGUGAAAUCCCCGGGCUCAACCUGGGAACUGCAUUCGAAACUGGCAGGCUAGAGUCUUGUAGAGGGGGGUAGAAUUCCAGGUGUAGCGGUGAAAUGCGUAGAGAUCUGGAGGAAUACCGGUGGCGAAGGCGGCCCCCUGGACAAAGACUGACGCUCAGGUGCGAAAGCGUGGGGAGCAAACAGGAUUAGAUACCCUGGUAGUCCACGCCGUAAACGAUGUCGAUUUGGAGGUUGUGCCCUUGAGGCGUGGCUUCCGGAGCUAACGCGUUAAAUCGACCGCCUGGGGAGUACGGCCGCAAGGUUAAAACUCAAAUGGAUUGACGGGGGCCCGCACAAGCGGUGGAGCAUGUGGUUUAAUUCGAUGCAACGCGAAGAACCUUACC
rnacentral:rRNA from 1 species